CCUGCGUGCCAUGCCACUGCUGCUGUAGACCCGGAACCGCCUCCGUGCCUGAACUCGAACCCGAGCCCAACCGGACCGCGCGAUGGACAGCUUCGUUCAGGGGCUCCUCACUUCUGGCGCAUAAUGAUGCUCCGCUUCUCGACGCUGCUGCUCCUCCUGUGCCUCGUGCUUCUUGCGGAGUCGCGCAGGAGCCGCAUCCGAAGACGGAGAUGGACGGGAGCCGUGGAGACGCAGAAGCACGGCACUUCUCUGUCAGCAAAGGCACAAGACGUAACAAAGUCACGGAAGCUGAAGACGGAACAUCUGCUGCAGGUUGACGAUCAUGAUUUUACCAUGAGACCGUCUUUUGGAGGGCCUGCUAUUCCUGUUGGCGUGGACGUUCAAGUGGAAAGCUUGGAUAGUAUUUCUGAAGUCGACAUGGACUUCACGGUCACUCUGUACCUGAGACACUACUGGAAGGACGAACGCUUGGCCUUUCCCAGCAGCACCAACAAGAGCAUGACCUUCGACGGCCGCCUGGUCAAGAAGAUCUGGGUGCCUGAUGUUUUCUUUGUGCACUCCAAGAGGUCCUUCAUCCACGACACCACGACAGACAACAUUAUGCUUCGCGUGUUCCCUGAUGGGCAUGUGCUCUACAGCCUGAGGGUCACAGUCACUGCUGCCUGCAACAUGGACUUCAGCCGCUUCCCUCUGGACUCACAGACCUGCUCCUUGGAGCUUGAAAGCUAUGCCUACACCGAUGAGGACCUCAUGCUGUACUGGAAGAAUGGAGAUGAGUCUCUAAGCACGGAUGACCGCAUCUCCCUGUCCCAGUUCCUCAUCCAGAAGUUCCAUACGACCUCGAGGCUGGCUUUCUAUAGCAGCACAGGGUGGUACAAUCGUCUCUACAUUAACUUCACUCUGCGGAGACACAUCUUCUUCUUCCUGCUGCAGACCUACUUCCCAGCCACGCUCAUGGUCAUGCUCUCCUGGGUGUCCUUCUGGAUUGACCGGCGGGCAGUUCCUGCUAGGGUGUCCCUAGGUAUCACCACGGUACUCACCAUGUCCACCAUCAUCACUGGGGUGAACGCCUCCAUGCCCAGGGUGUCCUACAUCAAAGCCGUGGACAUCUACCUCUGGGUCAGCUUCGUGUUUGUCUUUCUGUCCGUGCUGGAGUACGCUGCCGUCAACUACCUGACCACGGUGCAGGAGCGCAGAGAUCGCAAGUCUUUACCCUGUACUUGUGGCAUGUCCCACACCCGCACCAUGAUGCUGGAUGGGAUGUAUAGUGAAGCAGACACUGACAGCCUGGCAGGAUACACCACAGCGCCCAUGGUGCCUGAGGAGCGGGAGAAGCCGGGACACAUGGCGGGAACCCUCUCCGUGAGCAGCGUCUCCACCACUACCGCCAAGAAGAAGGGACUCCGGGGCUUGCGGAUCAUCCCAAACACGCAUGCUAUUGACACUUACUCUCGCAUGAUCUUUCCGGGCUCCUACAUCAUCUUCAACCUCAUCUACUGGUCCGUUUACUGCUGAACUCCACAGCGGUCUUUGGAGCCCUAUGUGGAAAGAGAUAAAUUUGGACUGGUCUGGAUAAAAAAAAAAAGGGGCAAGUCCUGUGAAAACAAGUGCCAAAACACUUGUGUGAAAACAAGUAUUUACAGGAGGACCUCUGACACGGAGAAAGGAGGAAUUCUUUGAUUUAUUCAUGUCAGGUGUAAUAAAGGAUGUGAUACAGGACUUUGGGAGCAUCCAGGUUAGACCGCACUAAUUUCUGUAGUUGAUUACCAGUGGUUUUGGGCUGUGAAAACAUUGUGCUUUUUCAUCUGGUAAACAACAGCAUGACUCUGGAAACACUGGAAGCAAUUUAGUCUGAGCCGGUCCACCCCCAGUUCCAUGCUUCUGGCCCACGGUCAUCCGGAACAAGAAGUUUUCCACAGCUUAUGAAAUACUGGUGUUAUUGUGCUGUAUUCUAACAAGUCAUUUGCAGGCUUGUGGAUGGUAAAUCAGCGCAGGGGACUUUGUUUUCAUCUUCCGCCUGCUGUGGCCCUGCUUCGUCCCUCUGGAAGCCCUGUGGAGGCCUGGAAUUUCAGCUCUCAAACAGCAAGAUUGUCAGGCGCUCAGGCGACUGGAGCUUAAUCCCCUGUGAAAGGGAUUAGCCGUCCAUUCUUAUCCAUUUCCUCAUGAUUUUAACAUGGA